GUAGUGAGAAGAGGUAGAGUAUUAUUCCUUAAAGAAAAGCGUAGUUGUGGAGGAGCAAAUACCGAUCUCGUACCAGUUCCCGUGCGAUCGGGCCGCGACUGGCCAUUUUCAAGGAUAUAUCGAAUCAAAUUUAGGUAUUGCUCUUCUUCUGUAUUUCUAUAUUCGGAGGAAGUAAAUGGUACAGGAGGUUCGGGUUUGGUAGUAACAUUUUCAGAGGCCUGAGUAUCCACCGAUUCCGAGCCUAAUGGAGCUUGGGAGGUCUCGUGAUCUUUGCUUAUAGAAGAUUCUGUAGUAGAGGGUAAAAGAGAGGCCUUGGGGGUAAUAUCUGCAUUUGCAGAAGUUUCAAUCAUACUGUUGGAUUGUUCAUUAUCAUCAACAUCGUCAUCAUCAUCAUCAUCGUACUCUUCAAAAGCAGCAGUUUGUUCACUAGAGUCAUCAUCUUGUCCAUCGAUGUUUUUCACAGCGUUCGGCAAGACAGACUUUUGUUCUAGCUGCAAUUUAUCGGCAACUCUGCCUACAAUGUUUCUCCAUUCGGCCAUACCGCCCAUGCCAAUAUCACCACAGGCAAGCACUUUCUCGAUUGGCAUGAUAAAUUCACUAUUCUUGUAUAUUCUGCUAAUAGCGCUCAAAUGUUCCUGAGUUAUAGGAUUAGUCCACAUCAAGGUAUUCAUUGCGGGAGCCAAGAGAAUUGGUUUUAAAGGGGCCCAGGCACGUAUAAGAGAGGUAAGUAAAUUGUCACAGAGACCAUUUGCCAUUUUGGCCAUAGUAUUUGCACUUAAAGGGGCAAUUAACAAAAGAUGUGCCCAUCGACGUAGCUCAAUAUGUGUGAUAGGACAUUCGAGUCCGUCCCAAUUUUUCCAAUCAUCCGCAUUGUUAUAAACAUUGACACCCAAAGCCGUUAAGUCCUCUUUCUCAACAAAGUUACGAGCCGGAUCCGUUAAAACGACUUGAACGUCGACGCCCUUGUAUGUCAGUAGGGAUUUAACGAUUAAUGUCAAUUUUAUCGCCGCAACCGAACCCGUUGCAGCGACCAAAAUAUGAUAUUUAGAAUCCGUAAGUUGUCGCUCUUUCUCAAGGAUCAUGGGAUUUUUUACAGCCCUGGUAGCAAACCUGGCAUGCAAAGGUUGUGACAUAUUGGCCAACGAAACGAAAGUAAUUGACGGGCCUUAAUGUUGGUGAAGCUAGAGAUUAUAGAUGCAGGGAGAAGGUUAGAUAUCGAUUUAUCUGGUACUGCAAUUUAAUGAAACUUUUAUAAACUCAUUGAAGCGCGUUAUAAUGGUCGUCCACAAAAACAAAUUUAGCAAUUGAACAAGCGAACCUUAGUUUUGCAAGGGAAUUGUACACGUCGUACGCAGAAAAACAAAGAACGUACGUUGCUUUAGUACCAAAAAAAAGUAAUUAUUUAUUAUGCCUGCAGUGUGAAAUCCAAGUGCCGUUAUGCAAGGAUGCACUACACUCUCACUAUUAGCAAUUAGUUACUUAAUAUAUCCAUAAUUCGGCAAAUGGCAUAGUCUCCUAAACCUUAGAAGACCCGUAAGCAUGGAUAAUUUAAAGAAAAUUUUUUUGCAAUACUUGAAAGCAUAUUUGAUGCUUUAGUACUCUCGCUAUUUUACGCUGUACUUGUUUGAUUACUUUUAUCUUAGUUAACAUGCUGACAAAUGUGAUGGGUUAUUUUCCGAAAUCACAACACCUGUCUUCUACUCAAGCAGUAAUACAAGUCUUGAAAAGCUCUGACUCAAACCGAUGGAACUAGAAACACUCGAAAAAGAUUGCUCCAAUAUUGAGAACAGACCUUAGCGUUAGCGAACUGCUAAUUGAUGACAACUCAUCACUUUGUGUGCUACUCUAUCGGAAUCAUGUCAUUAUUUAUACAAUACAAAUGAAACACUACUUUGAAUUGCUUUUAGGAUCACCGUAAAAGAAGAAAAUUGUAUUUGCUAAAACACUUAGAAUUGGAUAGCAGCACCCUAAAAUGAUUGUUAGUAGAUGAAAUAAAGAAAAUGAUCGAUAAUAAGGAUGAAACUCAACAAAAGACAAUUCAUAAAAGCGCUUUGCAAAAUUUUUUUUCUGGAUUUGAGAGGUAUUCAACCACGGCAAAAACUCUUUUACAAAUUCGUCUAAAUCCAAUCCACUCGUUAUCAGCAUUCUUCGACAUACCUUAGUCUUCUUUUCACCACCAAGCUCGAAAUGCUUG
rnacentral:lncRNA from 1 species